rnacentral:rRNA from 1 species
AUUCUGGCUCAGGACGAACGCUGGCGGCGCGCCUAACACAUGCAAGUCGAACGAGCAAGAGAGAGCUUGCUUUCUCGAGCGAGUGGCGAACGGGUGAGUAACGCGUGAGGAACCUGCCUCAAAGAGGGGGACAACAGUUGGAAACGACUGCUAAUACCGCAUAAGCCCACGGUGCCGCAUGGCACAGAGGGAAAAGGAGCAAUCCGCUUUGAGAUGGCCUCGCGUCCGAUUAGCUAGUUGGUGAGGUAACGGCCCACCAAGGCAACGAUCGGUAGCCGGACUGAGAGGUUGAACGGCCACAUUGGGACUGAGACACGGCCCAGACUCCUACGGGAGGCAGCAGUGGGGAAUAUUGCACAAUGGGGGAAACCCUGAUGCAGCGACGCCGCGUGGAGGAAGAAGGUCUUCGGAUUGUAAACUCCUGUUGUUGGGGAAGAUAAUGACGGUACCCAACAAGGAAGUGACGGCUAACUACGUGCCAGCAGCCGCGGUAAAACGUAGGUCACAAGCGUUGUCCGGAAUUACUGGGUGUAAAGGGAGCGCAGGCGGGAAGACAAGUUGGAAGUGAAAUCUAUGGGCUCAACCCAUAAACUGCUUUCAAAACUGUUUUUCUUGAGUAGUGCAGAGGUAGGCGGAAUUCCCGGUGUAGCGGUGGAAUGCGUAGAUAUCGGGAGGAACACCAGUGGCGAAGGCGGCCUACUGGGCACCAACUGACGCUGAGGCUCGAAAGUGUGGGUAGCAAACAGGAUUAGAUACCCUGGUAGUCCACACCGUAAACGAUGAUUACUAGGUGUUGGAGGAUUGACCCCUUCAGUGCCGCAGUUAACACAAUAAGUAAUCCACCUGGGGAGUACGACCGCAGGGUUGCAACUCAAAGGAAUUGACGG